rnacentral:rRNA from 1 species
UACGUAGGUGGCAAGCGUUAUCCGGAUUUACUGGGUGUAAAGGGCGUGUAGGCGGGAAAGCAAGUCAGAUGUGAAAACCAUGGGCUCAACCUGUGGCCUGCAUUUGAAACUGUUUUUCUUGAGUACUGGAGAGGCAGACGGAAUUCCUAGUGUAGCGGUGAAAUGCGUAGAUAUUAGGAGGAACACCAGUGGCGAAGGCGGUCUGCUGGACAGCAACUGACGCUGAGGCGCGAAAGCGUGGGGAGCAUACAGG